rnacentral:misc_RNA from 1 species
GAUGAAGAACGUAGCGAAAUGCGAUACGUAGUGUGAAUUGCAGAAUUCAGUGAAUCAUCGAAUCUUUGAACGCACAUUGCACCUCUCGGUAUUCCGGGAGGUAUGCCUGUUCGAGCGUCAUUUGUACCCUCAAGCUCUGCUUGGUGUUGGGUGUUUGUUCCGCCUCUGUGUGUGAACUCGCCUCAAAACAAUUGGCAGCCGGCGUACUUGUUUCGGAGCGCAGCACAUUUUGCGAUCCAGAUCAACGUACAGCGGCAUCCAAGAAGCCUUAUUUAACGCUCUUGACCUCGGAUCAUGUAGGGAUACCCGCUGAACUUAAGCAUAUCAAUAAGCGGAGGA